GAAGUACUCCCUCCGUCCCAAAAUAAGUGUCGUUGGUCUAGUACAAAAUUUGUACUAAUUUAGUGUUAAGUUUGCGACACUUAUUUUGGGACGGAGGGAGUACUAU
rfam:Hordeum vulgare subsp. vulgare, WGS project CAJW01000000 data, contig: morex_contig_59057